CAGCCGCCGCGGGAAUACGAAGGGGGCUAGCGUUGUUCGGAUUUACUGGGCGUAAAGAGCGCGUAGGCGGACUGAUAAGUCAGGGGUAAAAUCCCGAGGCUCAACCUUGGAACUGCCUUUGAUACUGUUUGUCUUGAGUUCGAGAGAGGUAAGUGGAACUGCGAGUGUAGAGGUGAAAUUCGUAGAUAUUCGCAAGAACACCAGUGGCGAAGGCGGCUUACUGGCUCGAAACUGACGCUGAGGCGCGAAAGCGUGGGGAGCAAACAGGAUUAGAUACCCCCGUAGUCCCUGUCUCUUAUAC
rnacentral:rRNA from 1 species